GGGUUGUGAGGUUAAGCGACUAAGCGUACACGGUGGAUGCCCUGGCAGUCAGAGGCGAUGAAGGACGUGCUAAUCUGCGAUAAGCGUCGGUAAGGUGAUAUGAACCGUUAUAACCGGCGAUUUCCGAAUGGGGAAACCCAGUGUGAUUCGUCACACUAUCAUUAACUGAAUCCAUAGGUUAAUGAGGCGAACCGGGGGAACUGAAACAUCUAAGUACCCCGAGGAAAAGAAAUCAACCGAGAUUCCCCCAGUAGCGGCGAGCGAACGGGGAGCAGCCCAGAGCCUGAAUCAGUGUGUGUGUUAGUGGAAGCGUCUGGAAAGGCGCGCGAUACAGGGUGACAGCCCCGUACACAAAAAUGCACAUGCUGUGAGCUCGAUGAGUAGGGCGGGACACGUGGUAUCCUGUCUGAAUAUGGGGGGACCAUCCUCCAAGGCUAAAUACUCCUGACUGACCGAUAGUGAACCAGUACCGUGAGGGAAAGGCGAAAAGAACCCCGGCGAGGGGAGUGAAAAAGAACCUGAAACCGUGUACGUACAAGCAGUGGGAGCACGCUUAGGCGUGUGACUGCGUACCUUUUGUAUAAUGGGUCAGCGACUUAUAUUCUGUAGCAAGGUUAACCGAAUAGGGGAGCCGAAGGGAAACCGAGUCUUAACUGGGCGUUAAGUUGCAGGGUAUAGACCCGAAACCCGGUGAUCUAGCCAUGGGCAGGUUGAAGGUUGGGUAACACUAACUGGAGGACCGAACCGACUAAUGUUGAAAAAUUAGCGGAUGACUUGUGGCUGGGGGUGAAAGGCCAAUCAAACCGGGAGAUAGCUGGUUCUCCCCGAAAGCUAUUUAGGUAGCGCCUCGUGAAUUCAUCUCCGGGGGUAGAGCACUGUUUCGGCAAGGGGGUCAUCCCGACUUACCAACCCGAUGCAAACUGCGAAUACCGGAGAAUGUUAUCACGGGAGACACACGGCGGGUGCUAACGUCCGUCGUGAAGAGGGAAACAACCCAGACCGCCAGCUAAGGUCCCAAAGUCAUGGUUAAGUGGGAAACGAUGUGGGAAGGCCCAGACAGCCAGGAUGUUGGCUUAGAAGCAGCCAUCAUUUAAAGAAAGCGUAAUAGCUCACUGGUCGAGUCGGCCUGCGCGGAAGAUGUAACGGGGCUAAACCAUGCACCGAAGCUGCGGCAGCGACGCUGAUGCGUUGUUGGGUAGGGGAGCGUUCUGUAAGCCUGUGAAGGUGUGCUGUGAGGCAUGCUGGAGGUAUCAGAAGUGCGAAUGCUGACAUAAGUAACGAUAAAGCGGGUGAAAAGCCCGCUCGCCGGAAGACCAAGGGUUCCUGUCCAACGUUAAUCGGGGCAGGGUGAGUCGACCCCUAAGGCGAGGCCGAAAGGCGUAGUCGAUGGGAAACAGGUUAAUAUUCCUGUACUUGGUGUUACUGCGAAGGGGGGACGGAGAAGGCUAUGUUGGCCGGGCGACGGUUGUCCCGGUUUAAGCGUGUAGGCUGGUUUUCCAGGCAAAUCCGGAAAAUCAAGGCUGAGGCGUGAUGACGAGGCACUACGGUGCUGAAGCAACAAAUGCCCUGCUUCCAGGAAAAGCCUCUAAGCAUCAGGUAACAUCAAAUCGUACCCCAAACCGACACAGGUGGUCAGGUAGAGAAUACCAAGGCGCUUGAGAGAACUCGGGUGAAGGAACUAGGCAAAAUGGUGCCGUAACUUCGGGAGAAGGCACGCUGAUAUGUAGGUGAAGCGACUUGCUCGUGGAGCUGAAAUCAGUCGAAGAUACCAGCUGGCUGCAACUGUUUAUUAAAAACACAGCACUGUGCAAACACGAAAGUGGACGUAUACGGUGUGACGCCUGCCCGGUGCCGGAAGGUUAAUUGAUGGGGUCAGCGCAAGCGAAGCUCUUGAUCGAAGCCCCGGUAAACGGCGGCCGUAACUAUAACGGUCCUAAGGUAGCGAAAUUCCUUGUCGGGUAAGUUCCGACCUGCACGAAUGGCGUAAUGAUGGCCAGGCUGUCUCCACCCGAGACUCAGUGAAAUUGAACUCGCUGUGAAGAUGCAGUGUACCCGCGGCAAGACGGAAAGACCCCGUGAACCUUUACUAUAGCUUGACACUGAACAUUGAGCCUUGAUGUGUAGGAUAGGUGGGAGGCUUUGAAGUGUGGACGCCAGUCUGCAUGGAGCCGACCUUGAAAUACCACCCUUUAAUGUUUGAUGUUCUAACGU
rnacentral:rRNA from 1 species